rnacentral:rRNA from 1 species
GCAGUAGGGAAUCUUCCGCAAUGGGCGAAAGCCUGACGGAGCAAUGCCGCGUGAGUGAUGAAGGUUUUCGGAUCGUAAAGCUCUGUUGCCAGGGAAGAACGCUUGGGAGAGUAACUGCUCUCAAGGUGACGGUACCUGAGAAGAAAGCCCCGGCUAACUACGUGCCAGCAGCCGCGGUAAUACGUAGGGGGCAAGCGUUGUCCGGAAUUAUUGGGCGUAAAGCGCGCGCAGGCGGUCAUUUAAGUCUGGUGUUUAAUCCCGGGGCUCAACCCCGGAUCGCACUGGAAACUGGGUGACUUGAGUGCAGAAGAGGAGAGUGGAAUUCCACGUGUAGCGGUGAAAUGCGUAGAUAUGUGGAGGAACACCAGUGGCGAAGGCGACUCUCUGGGCUGUAACUGACGCUGAGGCGCGAAAGCGUGGGGAGCAAACAGGAUUAGAUACCCCKRGUAGUCA